rnacentral:rRNA from 1 species
AGGGUUUGAUCCUGGCUCAGAAUGAACGCUGGCGGCGUGCUUAACACAUGCAAGUCGAACGAGAACUCUUCAGCUUGCUGAAGAAAGUAAAGUGGCGAACGGGUGAGUAACGCGUGGGUAAUCUACCUUCGAAUCGGGGAUAACUCGCCGAAAGGUGAGCUAAUACCGGAUAACAUUAUUAAUCGCAAGACUAAUAAUCAAAGGCGGCCUCUACAUGUAAGCUGUUGUUUGGAGAUGAGCCCGCGUACCAUUAGCUAGUUGGUAGGGUAAAGGCCUACCAAGGCGACGAUGGUUAGCUGGUCUGAGAGGAUGAUCAGCCACACUGGAACUGACACACGGUCCAGACUCCUACGGGAGGCAGCAGUGAGGAAUUUUGCGCAAUGGGGGGAACCCUGACGCAGCAACGCCGCGUGAGUGAUGAAGGCCUUCGGGUCGUAAAGCUCUGUCAAAUGGGAAGAACAUACAAAGCAUUAAUAAAGUUUUGUACUGACGGUACCAUUAGAGGAAGCACCGGCUAACUCCGUGCCAGCAGCCGCGGUAAUACGGGGGGUGCGAGCGUUAUUCGGAAUUAUUGGGCGUAAAGGGCGCGCAGGCGGUCAUAUAAGUCAGAUGUGAAAGUCCGGGGCUCAACCCCGGAAGUGCAUUUGAAACUAUAUGACUUGAGUAUGGGAGAGGCAAAGUGGAAUUCCGGUGUAGAGUUGAAAUUCGUAGAUAUCAGAGGAGACCGGGUGGCGAAGGCGACUUCCUGGGACCAAUACUGACGCUGAGCGCGAGGCUGGGGGGGAGCGAACAGGAUUAGAUUUCAGGAGGAACCCGUGCGAAGCGACUCUGGACAGUACUGACGCUGAGGCGCGAAGGCGUGGGAGCGACAGGAUUAGAUACCUGGUAGUCCACGCAGUAAACGGUGAUCAACUAGGUGUAGCGGGUAUUGACCCCUGCUGUGCCGAAGCUAACGCAUUAAGUGAUCCGCCUGGGGAGUACGGCCGCAAGGUUAAAACUCAAAGGAAUUGACGGGGGCCCGCACAAGCGGUGGAGCAUGUGGUUUAAUUCGACGCAACGCGAAGAACCUUACCUGGAUUUGACAUCCCGGGGAUUUUCUGGAAACAGAGAAGUGCCUUUUAGGAGCCCGGAGACAGGUGCUGCAUGGCUGUCGUCAGCUCGUGUCGUGAGAUGUUGGGUUAAGUCCCGCAACGAGCGCAACCCUUGUCUUUAGUUACCAGCAAUUCGGUUGGGGACUCUAGAGAUACUGCCCCGGUUAACGGGGAGGAAGGUGGGGAUGACGUCAAGUCCUCAUGGCCUUUAUGUCCAGGGCUACACACGUGCUACAAUGGGCUGUACAAAUGGUUGCGACCCUGCGAAGGCGAGCUAAUCCCAAAAAGCAGCUCUUAGUUCGGAUUGGAGUCUGCAACUCGACUCCAUGAAGUUGGAAUCGCUAGUAAUCGCAGAUCAGCAUGCUGCGGUGAAUACGUUCCCGGGCCUUGUACACACCGCCCGUCACACCAUGAGAGUUGGCUGUACCAGAAGUUGUUGGGCUAACCUGUUCAGGCAGGAAGCAGACACCUAAGGUAUGGUUGAUGAUUAGGGUGAAGUCGUAACAAGGUAGCCG